rnacentral:rRNA from 1 species
CCUACGGGAGGCAGCAGUGGGGAAUAUUGGACAAUGGGGGCAACCCUGAUCCAGCAAUGCCGCGUGUGUGAAGAAGGUCUUCGGAUUGUAAAGCACUUUCGACGGGGACGAUGAUGACGGUACCCGUAGAAGAAGCCCCGGCUAACUUCGUGCCAGCAGCCGCGGUAAUACGAAGGGGGCUAGCGUUGCUCGGAAUGACUGGGCGUAAAGGGCGUGUAGGCGGUUUGUACAGUCAGAUGUGAAAUCCCCGGGCUUAACCUGGGAGCUGCAUUUGAUACGUGCAGACUAGAGUGUGAGAGAGGGUUGUGGAAUUCCCAGUGUAGAGGUGAAAUUCGUAGAUAUUGGGAAGAACACCGGUGGCGAAGGCGGCAACCUGGCUCAUUACUGACGCUGAGGCGCGAAAGCGUGGGGAGCAAACAGGAUUAGAUACCCUUGUAGUC